rnacentral:rRNA from 1 species
CAACUUUUAACGGUGGAUCUCUAGGCUCGUGUAUCGAUGAAGAACGCAGCGAACUGCGAUACGUAGGGUGAAUUGCAAAAUUGUGAAUCAUCGAAUCUUUGAACGCAACUUG